GACGGAGGAUGCAAGUGUUAUCCGGAAUCACUGGGCGUAAAGCGUCUGUAGGUGGUUUAAAAAGUCUGCUGUUAAAAAUUGAAGCUUAACUUCAAAGGUGCCGUAGAAACUUUUAAACUUGAGGAUGGUAGGGGUAGAGGGAAUUUCCAGUGGAGCGGUGAAAUGCGUAGAUCUUGGAAAGACCACCAAUGGCGAAGGCACUCUACUGGGCCAUGACUGACACUGAGAGACGAAAGCUAGGGGAGCAAAUGGG
rnacentral:rRNA from 1 species